GGCAGAGGGUGCAAACGUUGUUCGGAAUUACUGGGCGUAAAGCGCGUGUAGGCGGUCGGGCAAGUCGGGUGUGAAAGCCCAGGGCUCAACUCUGGAAGUGCAUUCGAUACUGCCUGGCUAGAGUCCCGGAGAGGAUGGUGGAACUCUCGGUGUAGAGGUGAAAUUCGUAGAUAUCGAGAAGAACACCGGUGGCGAAGGCGGCCAUCUGGACGGUGACUGACGCUGAGACACGAAAGCGUGGGGAGCAAACAGG
rnacentral:rRNA from 1 species